rnacentral:rRNA from 1 species
AUUGAACGCUGGCGGCAGGCUUAACACAUGCAAGUCGAACGAGUGGCGGACGGGUGAGUAAUGUCUGGGAAACUGUCUGAUGGCGGGGGAUAACUACUGUAAACGGUAGCUAAUACCGCAUACCAUCAGAUGUGCCCAGAUGGGCUUAGCUUGUUGGUGGGGUAACGGCUCACCAAGGCGACGAUCCCUAGCUGGUCUGAGAGGAUGACCAGCCACACUGGAACGGGGACGCGGUCCAGGCUCCUACGGGAGGCAGCAGUGGGGAAUAUUGCACAAUGGGGGCAAGCCUGAUGCAGCCAUGCCGGGUGUAUGAAGAAGGCCUUCGGGUUGUAAAGUACUUUCAGCGGGGAGGCGUUACCCGCAGAAGAAGCACCGGCUAACUCCGUGCCAGCAGCCGCGGUAAUU